CCGAGCCGCGCGGUGCCCGGGCCGCUCUCCCGCCCUGGACGCCGCCUGCCGUUGUGCACUUCGCCCGGGCGCUUGAGGCGCGAGUGCGGCUGUGACGCCGUCCUGCGGGACCCGCACGCCGCCUUGUUGGCGGAAGGAUGUCGGCCACGCCCCCGCCGACGCCGUGAGCCGCCUCGCCGAGUCAUCGCAGUAAGCCGCUCGCCCUCGUCCGACUUCGGACGCGGAGGGUCGGGGCCGGGCGCGUCCGCCGUGCGGGCCUCCAGCCAGCGGCCGCCGGCACGUGGGUAGGAAUGGGACGCGCGCGGAGGCUCGGUUCUCCAGUAAGAACGCUAAACAGCAGAAGUCAUAGUGGGUUGUUUUGUUCCUGAUUAUCAAAAAGAAGGAUUUCGACGUUGCACCAGGAAAGCGUGUUCUGUAGCUGCAGGUGUGAUGUCCACGCUGGGAAGGAAACCUUGUGUACCUUCUUCAAUUAGCUGUAACUCCUGCUUCCUUCUCCCUCUUGGUUUCUAAAGGAGAGGGUACUGUUUAGAAAUUAUGGUAAGUACACCUCUUUCUUUCUCACCUUUUUAGAAUUCAAUUUUAUUUGUAAACUGCAUUAAUUUAUCAGCACUGCCAGGGCGUUACUUGAUUACGGUGGUGACAGAUGUCGCCCUUACCUUGUUCGCAGUGUCAGUGGAAAUGUUUUUCUGACGACUCAUCAUUAAGCACGUCUGCUGAGUCUUUUAGAUUCCCUUUCUCCAAUUAAGAAAAUUAUCUCCUAUUCCUCUUUUGAGAGUUCAUAAUUUCUACUUAGAUUUUCUAUUUAACCCAUCAAUUAUUCAAAAGUGCCAAGAGAGAGAGAAUGUGUAUUUGGGGGAGGGGGUUGCUUUCUUUUAAAAAAAGGAAUCACUGAAUCACGGUUAGCUCUGCCACUGCUCUUCCUCUCCCUCUGUCCUUCCCCGUCCGCCAGGCCCCAGCACUUCUCAAGGCCCUCCCCAGCUGUCUGGUCUAGUUUUCCAGUUCAGGCCCUGGCACUUGGACUGGACAUCUCUGAGCCCACAAAUCCCUGGUGGUCUCCCUGGCUCAUGCAGCACUGGGGCACCGGCAGAGGCACCCACUCGCAGAGGCCAGCGACAUGCAGGCACACGGCAGCACGCUGCUUCUGUUGUACCUUCUCCAGGUAACGGAUGCUGUCCCCAUGCUGUCAGCCUCUCCUCCGUGCCUGACCUGCAGACUCUCGUCCUCGCUGUCUUUGAAGCUCUGUCUUCAGGCCACCAAAUGUCUCAUGAGUGUUGCCACCAGGAUGUUCCUAAGGCCCCAAACCCCCUCAAAACUGAACCCUGCCCUCUCCAGCCACGUAACUGACCCCUUCCAGCCCAUGCAGCCUGGAAAGAGCAGAGGUGCUGGGGAGAGGAUCUGGGGACAGGGACCAGCACCACUGCUGACUUAGCCAGUGGCCCUGAGAAGGCUGUCACUGCUGUGAACAGCCUCGACGACUCGACAUCCCCCUCCUCGUGGGCUUCGGGCUUGGUCCUGCACGAGAAGCCACCCUCCCACUGCAUCCCACAAGGCUGGGGCACAGAGCCACCCCCUUAUGCGCAGAAACCAGGCCCUGGGGAAGGGGUCACAGCUGCUACUGACCUUUGGGCCCAGGUCUGAAUUCUGGGUCCACAUGAGCACCCACUGGCAGUCAGGAGAGCAGAGGAGGCCCGCGGGGCUAGCAGAGAACAAGCUCGCUCUGGAGCGCAGCUGCAGCUGGGGCACGGCCAGCGCAUGGAGCA